ACCUGUAGAAUGUGGGAGGGAGUUUUUUCAAUGUAAACAGAAAGAGAACAUGAAUGCUAUUGGCUGGGAAAUUCGCUCCGAGUGUGUUGAUUGGCCAUAUUAGCGGAGGAAACUUGAUAAGGGCGGUGCUAAAACGACAUGGCGGCCAUAUUGAAUUUCAUAUUGACAGUUGUUCCGAAGAUUUUCCAUCCGCGGUACAAGAAAGUAAAUGGUUUUAGUGGAAUAAUCAGCGAUUUCAGGACAUUUGUCCGUAACCUUUAAUGGUUGUGUUUCAAUCAAGACAUGGACGAAGAUGAACGACAGAGGAAAAUAGAAGCUGGAAGAGCAAAGCUUGCUAGCUUCCGACAGAAAAGGGCGAAAGGGGACGGUCAAGUCGCGCAGAAAAAGACGCAGAAGAGGAAGGGCCCGUCUCCAACGCAGAAUGACGGCCCAGCGCAAGGUCGCCCCCUAGGGAUGGACCUCCAGACAGACGGCAGCGCCACACAGCAGGACGACAUGUGUAACAAUGAGGAACCACAACGUUUUGGUGAGACAGAUCCGAGCCAACUUCCAGAGUUCCAGGGGCACUUGGAGCAACACCAUCCCCAGGAGGGAAGCAGUGUCCUGGGCGAGCAGGCGGUCGGUGGGCAGCCUGAGGAGAUGGAGGUUGUGGGAGACGAGGUCCUAGUGGUUCACACUGGAAAAGAUCAACUCAAGGUACUUAACCGUACAUACAUACAGUUUAUUUAAUCAAUAAGGCCUGAGGAGGUGUGGUAUAUGGCCAAUAUACCACGGCUAAGGAUACAGUGCCUGGAUACAGCUCUUAGCUGUGGUAUAUUGGCCAUAUACCACAAACCCCCAAGGCGCCUUAUUAUAAACUGGUUACUAACAUAAUUAGCCAAGUAAAACAUUUUUUAAUUUUUAAUUGUCAUACACAUGGUAUACGGUCUGGUAUACCACGUCUUUCAGACAAUCAACAUUCAGUCUUUGUCUAUAAAUGAGGAAAUAUGGAAAGCUUUUCCUUUUGAAGAGGAUGGAUGGGAGAGAAACGGAUUGAAUUCGAUUUCCAUUAUUGCUGGAGAAAUUACAUAAUCGUGUUAUAAAUACGUACCAGGAGAAAUGGGUUAGCUGUGUGUUCAUAUGCAUGCCCUGCAACAAAAGUUACACACACACACUUCACUUGUGUGUUGU
ensembl:lncRNA